CUGACCUCUCUUCAGAGAUCUGCUGCUUUUCCUGCCUCCUUUAGCCCCUGCUUCCUUGAGGAGAGCUGUCUCUCUGUUUGGAGCUCUCCUGGAUAUUUCAGCAGCUCUGAGGACUCUGGAGGCAGCCAGGAAGGUUUGGAGUGCAUGGAAUCAGCGCUGGUGCCCGUGAGAGGCUGGCUCUGGGGGAGCUACCCUUUAACACUUCACUUUGAAAAGGCAGCAGGAGCCAGGUGCAGGGAGUGACUCUGCUGGGGAUCUGUCUGAGAGCCAGGUGAAGGUUGUUGGAUCACUGAUAAUCCCAGCCCAGCUCUCUGAACUUUGCUGAGUUCUCUGCUUCCCUGAGCUGUUCAGACUCCCUGACUCUGGAAACCAGGACUGGAAAUCUCAGAGGAAAGAGCCCUUCUUAGGAGAACCUCUGCACUUCAUCUGCUUCUUCUGAUCCCAGAUGAGAGUGAGCAUCUCCAAAAGGAAGAGCAGGCAUUUGCUGACAACCUUCAUUCAUCAGAGAGGCCCAUCCAAAAGCUCUCAAAACAGCACAACGCCGAGGGGAGAACAAAGGGCAGCCCCUGGUUUUACAGCACACUGAACACGGGUCCUGAGGCUCCAGCAAUGGGACUUUUGUUGGAAUAAAGGUGGAAAAUGAAUGCAGAGCUUGUGGCACUGCCUGUGGUCUGGGCCAGGAGACAGCCAGCACAGAAGCCCAUUCUCCUCCUCCUGUGAACGUAGCUAAA